rnacentral:lncRNA from 1 species
UACCAGAAGGACCACUGUGAGUUCUCACUGCUGCUCUUUGCUGUUACUCGGGUAGUAUUAGCAGGGUUAGUCAGUGUCAUGAAAAUACCUUAUUUCAUUCAUUAGUUGCAAUUUUUUAGAGCUCAGAUGGAGCAUACAUACAUGUGUGUGUGUGUGUGUGUGUGUGUGUGUGUGUGUGUGUGUGUGUGUGUGUGUGUAUUUAUGUGUUCGUUUACAUACAUAAGCACACUUUUUUUUUUUUUUUAAGAAAACUUGAUAGCUCUGUGAACUUGAUGCUCUGUGAUGCCCUUUUGUUCUGGGCAGAUUCUGAGGCUGUUUUAUGAUUUCUUUCAUUUCUUUGUUCUUUUUUAUCAGUGGAGUUUCCUUGUCCUUGCCAAUUCUGUUGUUAGUCAUUUCACUACAACUUGAGGUAUUUCUUUUCCCUCUCUCCAUUCUUUCCUUCGUCUUUUUCCCUUUCACUCUUUUAGGUGAUAAUUUAUAGAGUAUUCAUGCUAAGUUUGGUUCCCCUUCCCCUCUUGAUCUAAGAAUGAAUUCUUGUUGAAAUUUGAACAACCUCAUUCAUUGUAUCAUGGAUAUUUUCUGGUGUGUUUUUCAAAGAAGUCAAUUCUAGCUCGGCCAUUGCUAAUCAUAAAGUCUUGUCCUUGAUCAGUCAUUAAAUAAUCAGUUUGACCAUUCAAACUAAUGACCUCAGCCUUCCUGUCUUCACACAGACAUGCUUUCUGUGUGGACCAACUUGUAUAAAGAAAACAUCUAACUAUGUGGUUAUUUUUUUCUUUUGUUUCAUUCUAAUCAAGAUUGUAGGACAAGUUCAGAUUUGGUCUAAGCAUCAACUGAUCUCUUCUGUUCAGAGAAUUGCAGGAUUUUAGAAUUCUGAGCAAGAUCAAGCAAAAAAAGAAAAAAAAGGAAAGAAAAAAAAGUUAAUGUGAAGCUGAAGCCAGCCUCAGCUUUCUUUCCCUGGACGGGUUGUUGAAAGACAGAUCGCUGUUCCCACCCCCAGGGUGGCCACCACAGCUGUCCAGGGAGCGCACUUUGAAGACUGCUGGUCUAGAGAAAGUUGGAGGUUUUUCAUUGCUUUACUCUUGGGUCAUUUUAAUCAUUCUGACACAAAGAAGUGACCCAUUCGUGGACAAAGCUCUCUCUACCUUUGGGGUCUCUGCCGUUUCUCCUCAUUAGGGUGCAGGGGCGCUUUCAUUUCUAGGGUGAGUUUGUGGUUAGGGACGCAGCUGCCUGGCUGUCGUCUGGAAGCUGUGCAUUUGUGGGAUAUGCCUAGUCCCUCCACUUGGAGACAGGAUUGUGGAAAGAAGCCAUUGGUUGCCCCGAAGAGUGCGUUUGCACUUACUGAGGCUCUUAGUGCAGGAGUCCCUGUCCUAGAGUGGCAGUGACAUGGAGCAUCAGAAACAUUGGAUAGUCUUCAAAUAAUGGAGUCUAUAGCUUUCAAUCUUUUUCUUCUUCUUUGAUAUGCGUGUUGGGGGUGAGGGCAAAGAAUUUCCUUUCAUAUUGUAUGUUUCUCAGGUUAACAAAGUUAUUUUGGGUUCUCUGCCAUGCCAGCAGGUGUUAGGGAGAGCAUGAGUGUUGUAUGUGGCAGAAAAGAAGCAGUUGUUUCCAAUUCCCUUACUACCUUGAAGAACUCUGUAUGUUUGCAGAAGAGUUGAGGGGAACACACCACCUCCACAGCAUGAGUGACUCCUAAGUCAUAGCAGACACAGAUGAGCAAGUUAUUUUUGAGAAACUGCCUACAACAGAAUAAACCUGACAGGUCUAUGGAUAGUUUUACAUGUGUGUGUUGUGUUUAAUGUUCAGCCUGGGCUGCAGUUCUGCAGGUGUUGGGCUCUGCUUCUCAUUUUUAGUUUGGCUUUGAAUUUACUGAUACUAGCAAGAAAACCAAUCUAUGUUUAAGGUAAUAGAAUGUAGAGUGGCGUAGGCGUAGAAGUAUAAUCCACAGUGGCCAUCCUAGAAUGCACAGUUUUAGAAUUCUUAGCCCCCAGUACUUACUACAUGAAAGGCCCCAGAAGCUUUAGCUGUGCAUUGCUGGUGUGUCCAGCACAGCUAUCUCUAUGCACCCCCAGCUUCUAAGGGACUUUGGUUUAUUUGCGAUUUGCCUUGCAUGAUACCACUCUGUAUCUUUUGGGAGGUCAGAGGACUCUUUUGUCCAGGUUAAAGUUCCAAAGUGUCAGUUAUACUUGAGACUGUUUCUCAGCAACACCUUUCCCACACAUUCAUAUGAAGCGUCCUGGAUUUUCAUGUACCAGGACCACACCUGCUCCUAUAAAUCCGUGUAUAUGACAUUCUGUACGUCAAGUACUGUAUCUUGUUUCCGUGUCAGCCACCUGACCUGAUUCUCUGAAACCCAUAAAGGUACUGGUUAUAUGUACUAGUUGCAGGGGAAUAGAUGGUUCAAAUACUUUCUCUAAAUUAUAAAGCUAAUGGGGUUUGCAUUAUAGUAAAGGUCCUAAUUGUUAAUGACACAGGCUCUUUUUAAUGUUUUAAAAAAUAAAAUUCUCUAAAUGUGGUCAGCGGUGGAUAGGAACUGCCACAUAGUAGACUCAUUGUGGGUCUUGUAUGGGAAACCUUCACAAGGGAGGGCAUAUAAAACCACCCUGGUCCGUUUAUCUUACAAGCACCACUUAUUUGCAUCUAAUUAAGCAUCAUCUAUGGCAAAAGUAAUAACAAUGACUGUGUUCCUCUGCAGUUUAUCAUACCUCAUCUGGGAGGCCCUAAUACCUAAAGAGUUUAUUCUUCAAAGUAAAGAUGAUUUUGUAUCAUAAGAUAACCCCAGAGCUACCCUCCAAGGCUUUUCUUUUCUCCUUUCUUCGUCCUUCCUAACUUGGUUUUGGGGUCCCCUUAGCUCAUGCUACUUCCUUAGGACAUGUUUUGAGUCCGGGAGUCUACAGUGUGAUCAUUGUCAGUGAAGUUCUUUUGUUUUAAAAGAUUCAUGGUAACACAAAAUGUAUUUUACUGCUACAACUAAAAUGUAUUUAUAAUAAAAU